GUGUUUUCACUCAUCUUACAAAUACUGUGGAAACGUGUCUUGCAGAUAGUCACUGAGUUAACCUCUGUUCAUCUAAGGAGAUGGAAAUAACGUGUGGUCAGUUUGGAACACCCGAGAGAGCAAACUUGGGGAUGAGCCGAGUUGGGAGGCCUGGACUGUGCCUGCACUGAUUGGGAGGCAUGUGGGAUCUUAGCUCCCCAACCAGGGAUCGAACCUGUACCCCCUGCAUUGGAAGGCGAAGUCCCAACCACUGGACCAUCAGGGAAGUCCCUGGCCAAACUAUUUUGAAAGAAUAGCUGAUAUGGACAUUGGAUACUUCAACAGAUGCCUCCAAGUGCUUCAAAUUCAACUUGCCAAAUUCAUCAAAGGUUGCAUUUCUCACUGGGUGCAAUAACCAGCUGCAACCAAAAUUAGGACUUUAAUGGAUUCAAAGAAGAGCUACAUUUGCUACUUGAAAAGAUAAUAUUGAACCUGAACCAAAUCUGAUAUUAGGUUUGUUUACAAAAAUUAUUUUUGCCUAAUGUGAGUUGGGUUUUCAUGGAGUCUGUUAAGGUCAGUCUGUUCAGAUCAGUUUAUAUCAAUAUUUUUUGGGAGAAAACAGACAGACCAAAAAACCCUUCUUGAUUUGAAUAUAGUCCAAAAGGCCUUUAAAAAUAUUUUGCUAAUGUAUAUGACUAUGCAAUGAUUUUAAGAGUCACUUUUCUUCCUCUUGACUGAAGUCCCCUUAAGAGACUGCUUCUGUGUUAUUAUUUAUCUUUGUUACAUGUUUCCCACUUUGCUUACCCCAUACUCUCCAUGCAGUUACAAUUCCUGCACACAGCAGAUGCUUAAUAAAUGUAUUGUUAUCGUUAAAUGAAAGUUGAUAGAUAAAACAGCAUUAAGGCUUGAUGUUAUGUAACUUUCCACCCAGACAUCUUGUUUCGAAAGGGUAGAACCCAGAGGCCAACAAGUAAAACAGGUGACGACAGACACCAACGUGCAUGUGGGCAAGGAGACUGGGAAACACUGUGGUCCUUAGCUCUUCUGACUUCCCACCUGGCUAAGUGUGACUCUAGCUCCAAGGCACAGGCAGUUUCCAACAAAAGUAAGAGAAAAGAAAUUCUCUCCCAAUGGAAGGUCAGGUCACACACAGAUGAACACUGUGGCUUUGGGCAGAGCAUGUACCUCACCACACCCCAUAGGUGAAGAAUGAGAGUGCUGGACGAUUCUUCCAGUUCCAACAAUUCAGGACCUUCAUGUUUUGUCAAUAUUGACAGACACUCUCCUGCUCUCUUUGAAAACCCUGGGUCUUUAUUGAUGAUUAAUUCUAUUUGCCACACCACACAACCAUCUGCUGACUGAAAUAAUAUAUUACAGCAGUGAUUCCUCCACAUAACCUUCCCAUCGUCAAGUAAAUUACAUGAAUGACACAAACAGCCUACUAGGGUAUAAAGAAUCAUGGCAUGGGAAGACUCAGCAGUCUACUGUUUGUGAUGUUAACAUUUUAUGUUUAAUUCUUCUGCAGACUAUCUACCAGGCUCAAAACUGAUGGGGCAUCAAGGGAAGUUGGUAGAGUCACUGCCCACCUGUGAAAACUCAUAACCAAAUAGUUUGCGUUCCGAGGGCUGGGGCCAUUCUUUAAGAAUCUUCUAAAACCGUGGCAAGAACUGUUUCACCACAAACAGUCAAUGCUGUUUGUGGUAAAAAGAACCACACGCUACUUCCUAAUGCUCUGUCCCCAAGUCAUGGAGAUGAAAGGCCACCAUUCCAACAGUAGAGGCAGCUUGAGCUAUAAAAACAUGACUCCCAAGACUCAGAACCAGUUUAUUAAUCUUACUAACAUACACCCUUAAAGAAACUACUGUUGGUAAAACCCAGCCACUCUUUCCUACACCAAGCUGGUGAAAAGAAAAGAAACGAGUAAAAGGAGUGAUCUGAGACAUCCAGAAGACUAAGGGCAUUCCUUCUUGAAGAGAAUUUAGAAGGCCAGUUUGGGGCUAGGCUGAGAAGAACAUCAUAUAAAGCAGGUUUGGUUCUAAUCCCAGAGACAACAAAAAAGAAGUACAUUUCGGAUGACCAUUUGGCAGUUAAUGAAUGCUGCGGUUGAGAAGCUUUCCAGCUGCCUUUAUGUUUACACGGGUGCAGUGGGUUCCACGAACUGUGACAGCACCGCAAAUUUAAGGAGUGAGUCCCCUGGACUGUGAAACCUCUCCUUAGUGGUUUCCAUACCACCACACUCCUGCAGAGUUGUACAAUUAUUAUUUUUGCAGUUUGGGGGAAACUUUUGUGAGUUUUUAAACCAAAUUACCACGUUUUUCCAAGCAAUACCUCAACUCCCAUGAUGUUUCCAUAUCAACUGCCUUUCCUGUUUCUUGACGAGGCAGCAUUGCUUUGGCUACAGGAAUGUACACUUUUCUAGGCAGGCGCAAAGAAAAUUUGCCCCAAAUGAUCAUCAAAGGGGUCUGGGUCGAUGGACAGAGACUGUCUUAGCACAAUCAGCCUAAAACUACCAAGAAAAAACCCUGUAAUUUGAUAAAUUAUUACCCGUUGCAAUGAGGGAGGCCACACACAACAGAGGAACUUUAGGGUGUCUUACCAACAAAGGACAGAGGAAAAUAUAGGUCUCAUAGGGAGUUUAGACAGCAUUGAAGUGAAGCAGUUUUAAUCGGUUUAAAACAAAGCAGAGCUGUGUAAGGAGUUAACAUCCCCCUCUCUGGACUGCACAGUGGACCUAGGGUCCUGUCUCCUUUCUCUUAACCACAAGGUUAGGAUAGAUGUGAAAUGCUGUGUCCAGAAGCGUCUGUCUGAACCCCUGCACAUGGGUUGUAAAUCAAUGCUGCUGCUCUAUGUUACAGUGACUUAGGUCUUCCAGGUGGGAGUGGGAAGUUUUAUUCUUCACUGAUGUAACUUUACAUAGUCCAUAAUGUAAGAGGACAAGAAUAAGAGGGCAGCAGUCACUCACAUAAGGGGGUUAUUGCAACUCUAGAUUUCCCUGUCCUUAGGAGACAAAUAUCCUGUUAAUGUUGCCCCUGCUGUUCUCUGUGUCUGUUAUUCUAGCCUGAUGAAUGGCUGUGCAGAGUUUUACUUUCUCAGCCUGGGCUAAUUUUUACUCUCUCAAAAUAUAGAUAUAUAAGCAUAUACUGGGCUGGCCAAAAAGUUCAUUCGGGUUUUUCUGUACCAUCUUAUGGGAAAACCGGAAUGAACUUUUGGACCAACCCAAUAGAACGAGAGAGAGAGAGAGACAGAGACAGAGAAUGCAUCAUUUCUUCAUGGAUUCUCAAUAAUCAUUCCCUUAACCUUCCACCUGGAUUUGACACAGGUUGAAACCCCCAAGGAGAAAUUCCUUUAUUCUAGCCCUUUCUCAUUUCCAUAACAUUCCGAAUUAUUUAGUAAACUAUGCCUAGACAGUGAACUCAGGAUAUUGAAAAAUAUCAUGCCAGGAUUUAAGGAACACAAUGGCAAUAUGAUAAUAAAUCGCAAGCAUUUAAUGAUAAAAUAAUUAUAGUAAUAAUACUGUAACACUGCAAUGAUUUAGAAAAGGACGCAGGCGGCCUUUUGGUGAAAAGAUAGAUAAACGAGAGUGAGUCAUGCUCAAUUCAGCACUUGAAAAAAUGUAAAACUCAACAUGCUCAAAUGGAGAUUUUUAAAUAAAAAGCAAAUAUUUGAAUGGGAUUUUAUAUAGAAGUGUUGCCAAUUAACUUUCUAAACAAUCAUCUAUGAUGGCAUACUAUAUUUUAUUGUAUAGCUCUUUUCUUCCAAAGAUAUA